UAGCUCAGUUGGAAGAGCAUGGUGUUUGCAACGCCAGGGUUGUGGGUUCGAUUCCCAC
rfam:Salmo salar isolate Sally breed double haploid chromosome ssa15, whole genome shotgun sequence.